UACGUAGGGGGCAAGCGUUGUCCGGAAUCAUUGGGCGUAAAGCGCGUGUAGGCGGUUCAGUAAGUCUGCUGUGAAAGUCCAGGGCUCAACCCUGGGAUGCCGGUGGAUACUGCUGGGCUAGAGUACGGAAGAGGCGAGUGGAAUUCCUGGUGUAGCGGUGAAAUGCGCAGAUAUCAGGAGGAACACCUAUUGCGAAGGCAGCUCGCUGGGACGUAACUGACGCUGAGACGCGAAAGCGUGGGGAGCAAACAGG
rnacentral:rRNA from 1 species